rnacentral:miRNA from 1 species
UAAGGCACGCGGUGAAUGCGU